GGCAUCGUGACGUAGUUGGUCAACGCAUCGGCGUAUAUAGCCUAAGGUCGCUAGUUCGAAAUCAGCCGGUAUGA
rnacentral:tRNA from 1 species